rnacentral:rRNA from 1 species
UAGGGAAUAUUAGAAAUGGACGAAAGUCUGAUCUAGCAACACCGCGUGUGCGAUGAAGGCCUUCGGGUUGUAAAGCACUUUUUGGAAGGAUUAGGAAGGAAUGUACUUCCAGGAUAAGUCUCGGCUAACUACGAGCCAGCAGCCGCGGUAACACGUAGGAGGCGAACGUUAUUCGGAUUUACUGGGCGUAAAGCGCGUGUAGGUGGUUCUGUAAGUAGGGCGUGAAAGCUCCUGGCUCAACUGGGAGAGGCCGUUCUAAACUGCAGAGCUAGAGGAUGGUAGAGGGAGGUGGAAUUCCGGGUGUAGCGGUGGAAUGCGCAGAUAUCCGGAGGAACACCAGUGGCGAAGGCGGCCUCCUGGACCAUUCCUGACACUCAGACGCGAAAGCUAGGGUAGCAAACGG